rnacentral:rRNA from 1 species
AGCCUAAUGACAUUACAUUAGGUAAAGUCUGCCCGGUGAUUAAUUAAACGGCCGCAGUACUUUGACUGUGCUAAGGUAGCAAAAUAAAUAGGCCUUUAAUUUAGGUCGAGUAUGAAUGGCAUUAUGGGUGAAAGCUGUCUUAUAUAUAAUAUAUAAAUUUACUUAGUGGGUGAAAAUGCCCACAUUUAAAUAUUAGACGAGAAGACCCUUAGAGUUUUUUAAUAAGCAUGCACUAAUUGCGAUCAUGAUUUUUUUUGUUGGGGCGACAUAGUAUCAUAUAGCAUACUACACACACAUGGUACAAAUCUUUUUUAUAAAUGAAUAUAACUACCUAAGGGAUAACAGCAUAAUUUUAUUUUUAAGAUUGUGACCUCGAUGUUGGACUAGGGACUAAAUAUAUAAGCCAUAUAUUUAGAAUAUUCUGUUCGAAUAACUUUUACCU